UUUAUAUACGAUACGAUACCUAAACUCUCCCCCCUUAAUUUGAUGGCCCCUUUUGAAAUUUGGAAGGCACGCCCAUUCAUUCAAAUUCCACUUUCUAUCUUCUAAAUUCCAUUUUUCUCUCUUCACAAAUCAAACCUAUGUAACUCAAAAAUCACACCAUUGUUCAUCACUAAGUUCUGAUUUAGGGUUCUGUAUUAGAAACAAAAAGAGCAAAACCAAGUAUGUGAUUUAGGGUUCUAUUCUUUAACCUCUGUUGAGAUCCUAUUGAUAUAUGAUAGAAAAGACCUCUCUCUAUAUUUUACUAAGGAGGGCUCGGCUAGAGAGCGAGAGAGGAAACCUAGAGGAUGAGGAAGUGAGAGCUCACCGAAGUUAUACAAGAAGAUCAGUUCCAGCGGAUUGUCAAAGCUUUGGAGGUAGAUCUAUACACCAACAACGACAAGUUCAUGUUAUUGUUGUGUCUAGUCUAUUAUUUGGCUGGAAUAUUUCGACUCAACCGGGUUUCUCGUGUAACUAGCGAUGGUGGUGUUGGGUUUCUAGGAAAUGGACAGGGGAUCGGUAUUCUCUUUAUUGAAAAAGAGGAAAAAGGGGUCCUAUGAUGGAGGAUCGAUUUUCAGCCCUGUCGAUGUUCAAGGAGAUUCCAAAUAGGGUAUAAGAGGCCAUUGUGGGAGGAUGUCUAAAUUAUGAUGAUGUUUACAAGGAGGUAAACCCCAAAAGGUGACUACCGGGAAGGUAUUACAAGGUUCAAUGCUUGGAUCAAACACAACUCUUGAGAGCAGUCGAUUUAAUGAUGCAUGAUCAAAGAAAGUUUAAAACCUUCUGUGUCCUACUUGAUGAUUUAAAGAAACCAGGGAUUUUGAUGCAUUUGAAUUAAUGAGUAGUUUGUAGUUAUGUUUAGUUAUAGCGUAUUUGGAUCAUAUUAUUAUGGUUGGACUAAAUUUCAAAUUAUCUUUUUUUUUUUUUUUUUCUUUCCUUUUUUGUUAUUACCAAAUUUAGAAUCUAGUUGUAGUUAUUUGUACCUUUAUCUCUGUAAUAGAGGUUUUGGCUUUUUGACAA